AUCGAUCUUGGCGAGGUUUAUAGCAAAGAAACUUGAAAUUUUUUUGCUAUAGCAAAACAAAUAUAAUCACUUUAGUUAUCGAUCUGAAAUCAGGUGGGACUACCCGCUGAACUUAAGCAUAUCAAUAG
rnacentral:rRNA from 1 species